UCCUACGGGAGGCAGCAGUGGGGAAUCUUAGACAAUGGGGGCAACCCUGAUCUAGCCAUGCCGCGUGAGUGAUGAAGGCCUUAGGGUCGUAAAGCUCUUUCGCCAGGGAUGAUAAUGACAGUACCUGGUAAAGAAACCCCGGCUAACUCCGUGCCAGCAGCCGCGGUAAUACGGAGGGGGUUAGCGUUGUUCGGAAUUACUGGGCGUAAAGCGCACGUAGGCGGAUUGGAAAGUUGGGGGUGAAAUCCCAGGGCUCAACCCUGGAACUGCCUCCAAAACUAUCAGUCUAGAGUUCGAGAGAGGUGAGUGGAAUUCCGAGUGUAGAGGUGAAAUUCGUAGAUAUUCGGAGGAACACCAGUGGCGAAGGCGGCUCACUGGCUCGAUACUGACGCUGAGGUGCGAAAGUGUGGGGAGCAAACAGGAUUAGAUACCCUGGUAGUCCACACCGUAAACGAUGAAUGCCAGUCGUCGGGUAGUAUACUAUUCGGUGACACACCUAACGGAUUAAGCAUUCCGCCUGGGGAGUACGG
rnacentral:rRNA from 1 species